rnacentral:rRNA from 1 species
UACGAAGGGGGCUAGCGUUGCUCGGAAUCACUGGGCGUAAAGCGCACGUAGGCGGAUUGUUAAGUCAGGGGUGAAAUCCUGGAGCUCAACUCCAGAACUGCCUUUGAUACUGGCGAUCUCGAGUCCGGGAGAGGUGAGUGGAACUGCGAGUGUAGAGGUGAAAUUCGUAGAUAUUCGCAAGAACACCAGUGGCGAAGGCGGCUCACUGGCCCGGUACUGACGCUGAGGUGCGAAAGCGUGGGAGCGAACAGG